rnacentral:rRNA from 1 species
UACGUAGGGGUGCAAGCGUUUGUCCGGAAUUAUUGGGGCGUAAAGAGCUCGUAGGCGGUCUGUCACGUCGGCUGUGAAAAACCCGAGGCUCAACCUCGGGCCUGCAGUCGAUACGGGCAAACUAGAGUACUGCAGGGGAGACUGGAAUUCCUGGUGUAGCGGUGAAAUGCGCAGAUAUCAGGAGGAACACCGGUGGCGAAGGCGGGUCUCGUGGGCAGUAACUGACGCUGGAGGAGCGAAAGCGUGGGGAGCGAACAGG